GGGCCGGUAGAUCAGCCUGGUGGAUCGCCCGCUUGGCAUGCGGGAGGUCGCGGGUUCAAGUCCCGCCCGGUCCACCA
rnacentral:tRNA from 3 species